AAGCCUAUUUAUAUCACCUCUCUCUUUGUAUUCCCUACAUUGCAAUAGAGCUCCCAAAAUCUCCCUUCAUAACAAAAUGCUCAAAAAUCUCCAUUCAUAUCAAAAUGCUCAUAUGGAAUAUAAUCAGAGAUCCGCUCCAGUUGACAGCGUGAACGCUACGACCACCGUAUUUAAGUGUUAUAUAUUGGUCAUUUACAUACAGGCGAUAAUCCUUGAGACUAAUUUAAAGACUCUAGAGUUUUGGACGCGGUCAUAUGGGUGUACAAUUUCUUGUCCAAAAUUUAUUUUUUUCGACAGGGAGUUUAAGGGAGUUUAUGGGUUUUGGGUAACAAUGGAAUAUUAGACUCCUAAUUGUGAAUGUAUGCUGUAACGCUCUUUCACCCAUGGCCUCACGCUAGUUUUAUUAUAAAUUUUUUCUGUUCAGAAAAGAAGAUUCGUACUUGUGAGAGUAACACAAGAAUCGGAGUCCAAGAUGAGCAGGAUAUGACAAUAACACCAAAUCUUUAACUAUGAAGGUCUAUGACUAUUCCCAAAAGGUGGAAGGAGUGUGUCUUAGGUGACAAAUUUAAUUUCACUUGUAACACGUUAUUAGCUGAAGAUAUCAUUGCUCAUAUCAACUAUAGCAAUACUUUCUCAAUAUAAGGAAUGAUAUCUUCGGCUAAUGCACGUAAUUUCAGAGAUUAAGAGGUAAUAUAGAGAACCAAAUUAUCCAAGAACCUCAAAUAUUUAAUAUCAUAUAUAUUGCAAUGGUACUUAAUAUAUUUUUAGUGUUCCUCUCCAAGAACCUCAAAUAUCCAAGAACCUCAAAUGUUAUGGAACUUUGACUA